GGCCCCGUCGUCUAACGGUUAGGACAUCAGACUUUCAAUCUGACAACGAGAGUUCGACUCUCUCCGGGGCUACCA
rnacentral:tRNA from 1 species